rnacentral:snoRNA from 1 species
AUUAAAACCUACAUAUUCUACCUUUGCACGAUGUUGCAGAAGUGAGGAGGGAACCAACCAAGUUUGCUAAAGUAAUUGUGAUAGAAAUGUAUUAGCCUUAGGGGUUACUGGGGUGGUCUAUUCUAUCAUAGCACAGUG